GGUUAAGCGACUAAGCGUACACGGUGGAUGCCCUGGCAGUCAGAGGCGAUGAAGGACGUGCUAAUCUGCGAUAAGCGUCGGUAAGGUGAUAUGAACCGUUAUAACCGGCGAUUUCCGAAUGGGGAAACCCAGUGUGUUUCGACACACUAUCAUUAACUGAAUCCAUAGGUUAAUGAGGCGAACCGGGGGAACUGAAACAUCUAAGUACCCCGAGGAAAAGAAAUCAACCGAGAUUCCCCCAGUAGCGGCGAGCGAACGGGGAGCAGCCCAGAGCCUGAAUCAGUGUGUGUGUUAGUGGAAGCGUCUGGAAAGGCGCGCGAUACAGGGUGACAGCCCCGUACACAAAAAUGCACAUAUUGUGAGCUCGAUGAGUAGGGCGGGACACGUGGUAUCCUGUCUGAAUAUGGGGGGACCAUCCUCCAAGGCUAAAUACUCCUGACUGACCGAUAGUGAACCAGUACCGUGAGGGAAAGGCGAAAAGAACCCCGGCGAGGGGAGUGAAAAAGAACCUGAAACCGUGUACGUACAAGCAGUGGGAGCCUCUUUUAUGGGGUGACUGCGUACCUUUUGUAUAAUGGGUCAGCGACUUAUAUUCUGUAGCAAGGUUAACCGAAUAGGGGAGCCGAAGGGAAACCGAGUCUUAACUGGGCGUUAAGUUGCAGGGUAUAGACCCGAAACCCGGUGAUCUAGCCAUGGGCAGGUUGAAGGUUGGGUAACACUAACUGGAGGACCGAACCGACUAAUGUUGAAAAAUUAGCGGAUGACUUGUGGCUGGGGGUGAAAGGCCAAUCAAACCGGGAGAUAGCUGGUUCUCCCCGAAAGCUAUUUAGGUAGCGCCUCGUGAAUUCAUCUCCGGGGGUAGAGCACUGUUUCGGCAAGGGGGUCAUCCCGACUUACCAACCCGAUGCAAACUGCGAAUACCGGAGAAUGUUAUCACGGGAGACACACGGCGGGUGCUAACGUCCGUCGUGAAGAGGGAAACAACCCAGACCGCCAGCUAAGGUCCCAAAGUCAUGGUUAAGUGGGAAACGAUGUGGGAAGGCCCAGACAGCCAGGAUGUUGGCUUAGAAGCAGCCAUCAUUUAAAGAAAGCGUAAUAGCUCACUGGUCGAGUCGGCCUGCGCGGAAGAUGUAACGGGGCUAAACCAUGCACCGAAGCUGCGGCAGCGACACUAUGUGUUGUUGGGUAGGGGAGCGUUCUGUAAGCCUGUGAAGGUGUGCUGUGAGGCAUGCUGGAGGUAUCAGAAGUGCGAAUGCUGACAUAAGUAACGAUAAAGCGGGUGAAAAGCCCGCUCGCCGGAAGACCAAGGGUUCCUGUCCAACGUUAAUCGGGGCAGGGUGAGUCGACCCCUAAGGCGAGGCCGAAAGGCGUAGUCGAUGGGAAACAGGUUAAUAUUCCUGUACUUGGUGUUACUGCGAAGGGGGGACGGAGAAGGCUAUGUUGGCCGGGCGACGGUUGUCCCGGUUUAAGCGUGUAGGCUGGUUUUCCAGGCAAAUCCGGAAAAUCAAGGCUGAGGCGUGAUGACGAGGCACUACGGUGCUGAAGCAACAAAUGCCCUGCUUCCAGGAAAAGCCUCUAAGCAUCAGGUAACAUCAAAUCGUACCCCAAACCGACACAGGUGGUCAGGUAGAGAAUACCAAGGCGCUUGAGAGAACUCGGGUGAAGGAACUAGGCAAAAUGGUGCCGUAACUUCGGGAGAAGGCACGCUGAUAUGUAGGUGAAGCGACUUGCUCGUGGAGCUGAAAUCAGUCGAAGAUACCAGCUGGCUGCAACUGUUUAUUAAAAACACAGCACUGUGCAAACACGAAAGUGGACGUAUACGGUGUGACGCCUGCCCGGUGCCGGAAGGUUAAUUGAUGGGGUUAGCGCAAGCGAAGCUCUUGAUCGAAGCCCCGGUAAACGGCGGCCGUAACUAUAACGGUCCUAAGGUAGCGAAAUUCCUUGUCGGGUAAGUUCCGACCUGCACGAAUGGCGUAAUGAUGGCCAGGCUGUCUCCACCCGAGACUCAGUGAAAUUGAACUCGCUGUGAAGAUGCAGUGUACCCGCGGCAAGACGGAAAGACCCCGUGAACCUUUACUAUAGCUUGACACUGAACAUUGAGCCUUGAUGUGUAGGAUAGGUGGGAGGCUUUGAAGUGUGGACGCCAGUCUGCAUGGAGCCGACCUUGAAAUACCACCCUUUAAUGUUUGAUGUUCUAACGUUGACCCGUGAUCCGGGUUGCGGACAGUGUCUGGUGGGUAGUUUGACUGGGGCGGUCUCCUCCUAAAGAGUAACGGAGGAGCACGAAGGUUGGCUAAUCCUGGUCGGACAUCAGGAGGUUAGUGCAAUGGCAUAAGCCAGCUUGACUGCGAGCGUGACGGCGCGAGCAGGUGCGAAAGCAGGUCAUAGUGAUCCGGUGGUUCUGAAUGGAAGGGCCAUCGCUCAACGGAUAAAAGGUACUCCGGGGAUAACAGGCUGAUACCGCCCAAGAGUUCAUAUCGACGGCGGUGUUUGGCACCUCGAUGUCGGCUCAUCACAUCCUGGGGCUGAAGUAGGUCCCAAGGGUAUGGCUGUUCGCCAUUUAAAGUGGUACGCGAGCUGGGUUUAGAACGUCGUGAGACAGUUCGGUCCCUAUCUGCCGUGGGCGCUGGAGAACUGAGGGGGGCUGCUCCUAGUACGAGAGGACCGGAGUGGACGCAUCACUGGUGUUCGGGUUGUCAUGCCAAUGGCACUGCCCGGUAGCUAAAUGCGGAAGAGAUAAGUGCUGAAAGCAUCUAAGCACGAAACUUGCCCC
rnacentral:rRNA from 1 species